rnacentral:rRNA from 1 species
GAUGAACGCUGGCGGCGUGCUUAACACAUGCAAGUCGAACGGAAAGGCCCUGCUUUUGUGGGGUGCUCGAGUGGCGAACGGGUGAGUAACACGUGAGUAACCUGCCCUUGACUUGGGGAUAACUUCAGGAAACUGGGGCUAAUACCGGAUAGGAGCUCCUGCUGCAUGGGGGGGGGUGGAAAGUUUCGGCGGUUGGGGAUGGACUCGCGGCUUAUCAGCUUGUUGGUGGGGUAGUGGCUUACCAAGGCUUUGACGGGUAGCCGGCCUGAGAGGGUGACCGGCCACAUUGGGACUGAGAUACGGCCCAGACUCCUACGGGAGGCAGCAGUGGGGAAUAUUGCACAAUGGGCGGAAGCCUGAUGCAGCAACGCCGCGUGCGGGAUGACGGCCUUCGGGUUGUAAACCGCUUUCGGCUGUGACGAAGCGUGAGUGACGGUAACGGGUAAAGAAGCACCGGCUAACUACGUG